rnacentral:rRNA from 1 species
CGCGUACACGUAAGCAACCUGCCCAAGACCGGACAACGUCCGAAAGGAGCGCUAAUACCGGAUGUGCCCAUCGGGUGACAUCGCCUGUUGAGUAAAUCGAGCAAUCGGCUUUGGGAGGGGCUUGCGGCCUAUCAGCUAGAUGGUGGGGUAACGGCCUACCAUGGCUACGACGGGUAGCUGGUCUGAGAGGAUGGUCAGCCGGAUUGGGACUGAGAUACGGCCCAG